AUUGAACGCUGGCGGAAUGCUUUACACAUGCAAGUCGAACGGCAGCACGGGGCAACCUGGUGGCGAGUGGCGAACGGGUGGGUAAUACAUCGGAACGUGCCCAAUCGUGGGGAUAACGUAGCGAAAGUUACGCUAAUACCGCAUACGAUCUACGGAUGAAAGCGGGGGAUCGCAAGACCUCGCGCGAGUGGAGCGGCCGAUGUCAGAUUAGGUAGUUGGUGGGGUAAAGGCUCACCAAGCCAACGAUCUGUAGCUGGUCUGAGAGGACGACCAGCCACACUGGAACUGAGACACGGUCCAGACUCCUACGGGAGGCAGCAGUGGGGAAUUUUGGACAAUGGGCGCAAGCCUGAUCCAGCCAUUCCGCGUGCAGGAUGAAGGCCUUCGGUUGUAAACUGCUUUGUACGGUAACGAAACGGCGAGCUCUAAUACAGUUUGCUAAUGACGGUACCGUAAGAUAAGCACCGGCUAACUACGU
rnacentral:rRNA from 1 species